rnacentral:rRNA from 1 species
AUUGAACGCUGGCGGCAUGCUUUACACAUGCAAGUCGAACGGUAACAGGGGCUUCGGCCUGCUGACGAGCGGCGAACGGGUGAGUAAUGCGUCGGAAUGCACCGAGUAAUGGGGGAUAACGCAGCGAAAGCUGUGCUAAUACCGCAUACGCUCUGAGGAGGAAAGCAGGGGAUCUUAGGACCUUGCGUUAUUCGAGCGGCCGACGUCUGAUUAGCCAGUAGGUGAGGUAGAGCUCACCUAGGCGACGAUCAGUAGCGGGUCUGAGAGGAUGAUCCGCCACACUGGGACUGAGACACGGCCCAGACUCCUACGGGGGGCAGCAGUGGGGAAUUUUGGACAAUGGGCGCAAGUCUGAUCCAGCCAUGCCGCGUGUCUGAAGAAGGCCUUCGGGUUGUAAAGGACUUUUGUCAGGGAGGAAAUCCUUAGUGCUAAUACCACUGAGGGAUGACAGUACCUGAAGAAUAAGCACCGGCUAACUACGUGCAGCAGCCGCCGUAA